CCAGUUAUUCUUCCUCUUAUUUAUCCGGUCAGUGGUGAUGUGACGGAGAUGUGAUUUAAUGAAGGAACGUGGUGAGAGAGGGGAAUCAUUGACGACCGCAGUAGGGACAGCGCCAGGGCUGAAGGCCACAACCCCCAACCCCAAGUCCCUAAGAUUAGGACAGAAGACAAUGCAGGGAGUGGGGACUUUAGGAAGGGGCUUUGGGUGUGUGUGUGUGUGUGUGUGUGUGCGCGCGCGCAAAGGGCUCAGGUAAUGACCAACCUUGAGAGAGAUGCAGAGGGUUUGGACUCCCCAGACCUCCUUCAAGGGGUCUUGAUUGACUAAAUGUCACAAGGGAUCUCAAAUUCUCUCCUUUUAAAUACGGGCCGACAUCCAGCCUUUUUCUUGAAUUUUAAUUCCUAAUCGGCUCAUUGAUUAUCCUUGGCAGGGCUCUCAGCAUAUUUCCCAUUGGUGAUUAGCUGUCGACGCUAGGGGAUGGGCCUUAAAUGUGCCCCCUCCACGCGGGCUAGAUCACGUGGCUGGGGACUGUUAAGUGAAGCCAUGGGGGAGUGGGAAGGAUCAGGGCCGGGGUGGCGAAGGCAUGGCUUCAGGAGGCAACAGAGGAAGCCUGAAGGCGCACUUCGAGAGGGAGGGGCCAGCGUCCUUGAGGAAAGGGGCGGGGCUUCAGGGAAGAGGGCGUGGCCACUAGCCGUUAGAGAGCCUCCCAGGCUUUGCUCUAAGAGGCUGGGGAGGUGAGGGAGAGCAGGAGAAAGGCCAGACUGACAGCUGCUGGGGCAGUGAGAUGAGGGAGCUCCGUCAGAGUCUCCUGGAGGGCUUCUUACAACAGUUUUCUGAGCUACAACCGCAGAGAUUGAUUUAGUGGGUCUGAGGGAGAUUUAGCGGAAGCGGGAAAAGAUUGCAAGUUUUGAUUCUGCACUGUUGAACUAGAAGUCACUACUGAACUUCCAACCUCAAGACCUAUUCCAAGCCUUUCCCUGCUGCUAACAGCCACUCCAGGCACUUGAAAAAAUGUGUGAGGACUGUGGUGAGCCGGAAGACUCUGAGAGGCCCCCUAGGGACCACUUCGUGCUGUCACUCGUGGCCUACUUCCUGUGUUGCCCCUUAGGCGCUGCAGCUUUGUACUAUUCUAACCAGAAAAUAGAAGAGGAGGGACAAUUGCCCAACUCAACUUAUCAGGCCAGUAUUACUUUGAAACUAAAACCAGAUCAAGACAAUGUACAAACACUACAGACCAAUAUCGCUCACGAAUACAGACAGAAAACGUCUCAAUGAAAUAUUUAAAAACCAGAAACAGAAGGAUAUAAAUAGCAUACACCAUCACCAACUGGGGUUUCUCCCAAGAAUGCAAAGCUGGUUCAGCAUUAGAAAAGUAAUCAAGGUAAUCCACGAUAUUAACUGUCUAAAGAAGGAAAACCACACGAUCAAUUGAUGCAGAAAAGGCAUUUCAGAAAAUUCAACCUCCAUUCACUAUAAAAACUCAGCAAACCAGAACAGGGACCUUCCUCAUCCUGAUAAAGGGUAUUUACAGAAAACCCAUAGCUAACAUCAUAUGUAACGGUGAAGGAGGAAAGGCUUCCACCCCGAAAUCUGCAACAAGGCAAGGAUGUCCACUCUCACCACUCCUAUUCCAGGUCUGGAAGUCCUGAUCAGCACAAGAAGUCAGAAACAGAGAGAAACGGCAUACGGAUUACAAAGGAGGAAAGAAAAUCGCCCUUAUUGCCAGAUGGCAUGAUUGUCUUUGUGGAAAAUCCAAGGGAAUCAGCAAAAACACUCCUAGAAUUGACAAAAUGGGAUUAGAAAGAUCACAGGUUGCAAUAUGACACACAAAUCUAUGUAUUUCCAAUACACUAGCUAUACACAAUCAGAAACUAAUAUUUUUUAAAAUACUACCACUUUCAAUAGCUGCCCAAAAAUCAAGUUAUUGGAUGUAAAUCUCAAAUAAAUGUGUACGAGCUGUGUAAAUAAACUACAGCUGCUCAUGAAAGAAAUAAAAGAAGAAAUGAAUAAAUGUAGGAGAGUCUUCCCUGGUUGUGAACUGGAAGUAUCAGCAUCUCUGCAAAAAUGAUAUGAAAUUCAAAAGCAAUUCCUAUUGAGAGACCAACCAAACUUGUAGAUCUAGAAAAGCGUAGUCAUAACUAUUCUGAAAAAGAAGAAGAAAGUUGGAGUAGUCACAUUACCCAAUUUUCAGAAUCACGGUAAAGCUAAUGUAACCACACCAAACUGGGAUCCCUUACCUGAUGUGCUUAAGAGCCAAUUAUUACAGCAUCAGCUUUUGAAAAGGGAAUAGAGCUUUAUUAUGACAUUGAUCUGCAAGGUGACAGGAGGCAUCAGCUCUCAGAUCUGUCUGCCCAGCGAGGGCUUGGGGCAAAAUUUAUGGGAUGAAGGGCAGGACAGUCUGAAGUGUGGAGACAGACGACUACAGGUAAGCGGAAGUGAGGUAAUUGAUGAUCUGUGCAAGUGCAGUCCAGCUUCAGGGCUCUUCAUCCGACACAUGGUCACAAAACGGUGCUAUUAGCAUGAUCUGAGGGUGGAGUUUUCAGCCUCUUGACGUCAAAAGCUCAUUUAUCGGGCAUUUAUGCAGGCCCAGAUGAGGAGUUGGUGGUCUCAACCGGCUGGAACUGGACUAGGGGUCGUUUCUCAGUUUCUGAAAAACCACUCUUAAUUAUUCUGUUGAUACGAUGGGGUCAGUUGAAAUGGUCCUAGAGGGCCUGUGGUUACACCACAUUAGCAAGAGAGUGUGGUAUUGGCAAACGGGUAGACAGAGAUCAGCAGAAUGCAAUGAGUGCAGAAAGAGAUCAAAGAAAGAAUCAGGUGUUUGUAAUGGUGUCAGAUUAAUUGGACCGCCACAUGCAAAAAGUAACUGAUCUCAACUAAAACCUCACAUCUUAUACAAAUAUUAACUUAAAUGGAUCAUAGAUCUAAAGGUAAAAUGUAAAUCUAUCAAAUUUUUACAAGAAAACAUAGGAGAAAGUCUUCCUGACCCUGGGUUAUGCAAAGAGUUCUUAGAAAUUAUAUCAAAACCAUGCCCAUUAAAGGAAACUUAGACUCCAUCAAAAUUAAAAACUUUUGUCCUGCAAAUGACACUCUUAGAAAGUCAAAAGAUGGAUACAGACCCAGAGAAAAUAUUUGCAAAUCAUAUGUCUGACAAAGGACUUGUGUCUAAGAUACACAAACAACUCUCAAACUUAACUGUAAUGAAAACAACCCAAAUUUUAAAAUAGGCAAAAGAUGUGAACUGAGACUUUGCCGGAGGUAGACAGCAGGCAAACAAGCACAGGAAAAGAUAUUAAUUCUCACGAAGAUCACCCUCCACUGCUGAAGAACCUGACUCCAAGUAUUUCAAUGGCCACUUAAGAUGCCUGAAGCAACUCAGGACUCCUAAGCCCUCAUCACUCUCUCCCCUAGUGGUGCUUUUCCCCAAGGCACCCCCAGAACUGAUCAGUCACCUGAGAGAAGAGGAAAACUCCUUAGACCAAAAGGCAGCCAGGUAUUGGCUUCCCCACCCAUCCCACACAACCUCCAGCCAGCCAAUAGAAGUAGCAAGACAGAAUAGGAGGCGGGGCCUGCCUGGUCUCCAUGGUAAUCCCUGGCAGGUGGAAGUGAGGAAGAGGCUCAAUGCAGCCUUGGUAGCACUGGAUGCAGAUGUCUUAAUGGGGGUAUUGAACGGCAUUUUAAAAAAUGUGUGAGGACUGUUGUGAGCCUGAGGAGUCUGAGAGGCCCCCUAGGGACCACUUCGUGCUGUCACUCGUGGCCUACCUCCUGUGUUGCCCCUUAGGCACUGCGGCUUUGUACUAUUCUAGGCAGACAAUGCGCUACAACUAUAGGAAUGAACACGCCUUGGCAGUCAAGUCCUCAUGGAUGGCCUUCAGAUUAUCAAUUGCAUCAAUUAUUCUGGCAUGCAUCGGUACGGCCAGCAUCUGCUUGAUGCUCACAGUGGACACGUUAUCUCGGUAACCUGCUCUCCAGCUCAUGAACAAACCACCAAAUAUAUACAAAAGCAUUACUUACAUGGCUCAAAGUCUCCAUUUGGGCCCAGUGGGACACCAGUUCCUCAAUGUCUAGACUGCCAAGUGUUGCCAGCCUGGGCCAUCUCCUUGAGGUUGUUGAGGUGGGAAGGAAGUGUAGCUAUGGCCACCUAUUUGACCUGAGCUCAAGACCAACCCUUGGACCCUAGCAAGGGAUGGGGGCCAUAGGGGAGAGGGUAGGGCACUGUUGCCCCAGGGAAGCCUCCCCUCCUACCCACAUUCACGCAUUCAUGCCAUAUAUCUACUUAUGGCAACCACAAAGGGCCUUGAACAUGCUGCCUGACUCUGGGGACAUAGCAGUGACCACGUCAGAUCCAACCCCAUCCCCUCACAACUCACCAACCAGGUUUGCAGAUAGACACAUCAUCAAAUAGUGACAGUUCAGAGUGGUCCAAUCUCUAAGGGGAACCUAGGGAGGUGGGUUGUAAGAGGCCAGACCUGAUCUGGGGAACUCAGAUCUAACACAAAUCCAGGGAGUCAGGCAGCUGUCGGUGAACUGGUUAGAAUUGGCAUCAGGUUAUGACUGUAGAGACUUCCCUAACAGGUAUGGAUUGCCUCCUCUCCCAACUUUCCCCCCAAAUCUUGUCAUUCACUAAUCACUCAACAAAUACAUUCUGCACCUACAAUGUACCAGACACUGUACCAGGAACUAGGAAUGCAACAGAGCAACAUAAGAAGAUCUCUUUCUGAUGGAGCUUACAUUCUUGCAGAGAAUAAAACCAGAAACAAAUAGACCUCAAACACACAAGAUAAUUACAGGGAAUGGUAAAUGCUAUGGAGCAAAUAAAACAGGAUAAUAAGCUUAAGCAGUGCCAGUACAGGUCCACCAACCAUUAACAGUUUGCAACUCGAUAAGUGCAAAAAUUGCCAGUAAGUGCUUCCAAACCUACAGCAACUUGACAUUUUCGUGACAUUCAAGUAUACGAUCAGGAGCCCUUUCUAGUUGCACACAGUAUAGACCCAAAGGAUCAGUCCAUCACAGAUUGAAAAUAUGAAAAACAGUUUCUACUCCACAACGACAAUAGUUUCAGAAGCACUGCGCUAGUGGGCAACGACAUCUAGAAGGUAUAGUGGUUAGGAUCAUCCUCGCAGCUGUAACACAUAAACCCCACCAUGUCAAAGCUCAAUAGGAGAAGUUUAUUUCACAAUCACAGGACCUCCCAAUGUGGGCAUCAGCUGGCUCAAAUAUUGUGUCAGGGAUCGAGUCGUUUUCCAUUCGGUGAUUCCACCAUCUCCUAAAGGCUCAGGGUCCUUUGAAUCCAGGCAGAAGACAAGAGAGUGGAGAACCCCUGCUUGCUUCUUAAAAUGCUUGGCCUGAACAUGAACCUUGGACACUCUUGGUGGGAAUGUCAAUUUCAAUAGCCAUGAUGGAUAACAGUAUGGAGGUCCUCAAAAAAUUAAAAAUAGAACCACCAAAUGCUCAAGCAACCCACUUCUGGGUAUAUGUCCAAAGGAAUUAAAAUCACUGUUUCAACAAGAUCUCUGGACUCCUCCUUCAUUGCAGCAUUAUUCACAUUAGCCAAGAUAUGGAAACAACAGAAGUGUCCAUCAACAGAUGGAUGGAGAAAGAAGAUGUGGGAUAUAUGUACACAAAGGUAUAUUAUUAAGCCAUGAAUUUUAUGAAAUCCUGCCAUUUUUGCCAAUAUAGAUGAACCUUGAGGGCAUUAUGCUAAG